rnacentral:rRNA from 1 species
GGAUGCUGGCGUAAUGGUCAUCAGCGACCCGUCUUGAAACACGGACCAAGGAGUCGUCUUCGUAUGCGAGUGUUCGGGUGUCAAACCCCUACGCGGAAUGAAAGUGAACGCAGGUGAGAGCUUCGGCGCAUCAUCGACCGAUCCUGAUGUUCUCGGAUGGAUUUGAGUAAGAGCAUACGGGGCCGGACCCGAAAGAAGGUGAACUAUGCCUGUAUAGGGUGAAGCCAGAGGAAACUCUGGUGGAAGCUCGCAGCGGUUCUGACGUGCGAAUCGAUCGUCAAAUAUGGGCAUGGGGGCGAAAGACUAAUCGAACCUUCUAGUAGCUGGUUUCCGCCGAAGUUUCCCUCAGGAUAGCAGUGUUGGUCUCAGUUUUAUGAGGUAAAGCGAAUGAUUAGGGACUCGGGGGCGCUAUAUUGCCUUCAUCCAUUCUCAAACUUUAAAUAUGUAAGAAGCCCUUGUUACUUAACUGAACGUGGGCCUUCGAAUGUAGCAACACUAUAGGGCCAUGUGGGGUAAGCAGAAUUGGCGUUGCGAGAUG